UCUUCUCUUGGUCUACAGAUC
rnacentral:miRNA from 1 species